GCAUGGGUGGUUCAGUGGUAGAAUUCUCGCCUGCCACUCGGGAGGCCCGGGUUCAUUUCCAGGCCCAUGCA
rnacentral:tRNA from 1 species